CUUUCGUCGGGGAAGAAAUGACUGUACCCGAAUAAGAAGGUCCGGCUAACUUCGUGCCAGCAGCCGCGGUAAUACGAAGGGACCUAGCGUAGUUCGGAAUUACUGGGCUUAAAGAGUUCGUAGGUGGUUGAAAAAGUUGGUGGUGAAAUCCCAGAGCUUAACUCUGGAACUGCCAUCAAAACUUUUCAGCUAGAGUAUGAUAGAGGAAAGCAGAAUUUCUAGUGUAGAGGUGAAAUUCGUAGAUAUUAGAAAGAAUACCAAUUGCGAAGGCAGCUUUCUGGAUCAUUACUGACACUGAGGAACGAAAGCAUGGGUAGCGAAGAGGAUUAGAUACCCUCGUAGUCCAUGCCGUAAACGAUGUGUGUUAGACGUUGGAAAUUUAUUUUCAGUGUCGCAGCGAAAGCGAUAAACACACCGCCUGGGGAGUACGACCGCAAGGUUAAAACUCAAAUGAAUUGACGGGGACCCGCACAAGUAGUGGAGCAUGUGGUUUAAUUCGAAGAUACGCGCAGAACCUUACCAACACUUGACAUGUUCGUCGCGACUUUAAGAGAUUAAAGUUUUCGGUUCGGCCGGACGAAACACAGGUGCUGCAUGGCUGUCGUCAGCUCGUGUCGUGAGAUGUUGGGUUAAGUCCCGCAACGAGCGCAACCCUCACUUUUAGUUGCCAUCAUUAAGUUGGGCACUCUGAAAGAACUGCCAGUGAUAAGCUGGAGGAAGGUGGGGAUGACGUCAAGUCCUCAUGGCCCUUACGUGUUGGGCUACACACGUGCUACAAUGGUAUCUACAACAGGAAGCAAAACUGCGAAGUUAAGCAAAUCCUUAAAAGAUACCUCAGUUCGGAUUGCACUCUGCAACUCGAGUGCAUGAAGCUGGAAUUACUAGUAAUCGUGGAUCAGCGUGCCACGGUGAAUGCGUUCCCGGGUCUUGUACACACCGCCCGUCACACCAUGGGAGUUGGUUCUACCUUAAGGCAAGGUUUCAAACCCUUGACCACGGUAUAGUCAGCGACUGGGGUGAAGUCGUAACAAGGUAGCCGUAGGGGAACCUGCGGCUG
rnacentral:rRNA from 1 species